rnacentral:rRNA from 1 species
ACGGGGGAUGCAAGCGUUAUCCGGAUUUAUUGGGUUUAAAGGGUGCGUAGGCGGUUUGAUAAGUCAGCGGUGAAAUAUUUCAGCUUAACUGAAAGGGUGCCGUUGAUACUGUCAGGCUUGAAUAUGGUUGCUGUGGGUGGAAUGUGUGGUGUAGCGGUGAAAUGCUUAGAUAUCAGGCGGAAUACCGGUUGCGAAGGCGGCUUACUGGGCCAUUAUUGACGCUGAGGCACGAAAGUGUGGGGAUCAAACAG